rnacentral:rRNA from 1 species
CGGAACGUGCCCAGUCGUGGGGGAUAACGCAGCGAAAGCUGUGCUAAUACCGCAUACGAUCCAUGGAUGAAAGCGGGGGAUCGCAAGACCUCGCGCGAUUGGAGCGGCCGAUAUCAGAUUAGCUAGUUGGCGGGGUAAAAGCCCACCAAGGCGACGAUCUGUAGCUGGUCUGAGAGGACGACCAGCCACACUGGAACUGAGACACGGUCCAG